AAGGAGACUGCCAGUACAAGAGGCUUUCACUCCCCUUGAAGGUUUGCAGGCAGGAGAAAAGAGUGACAAAGUUUUUUCUUCCUCCUCUGUUCUAUGCUCCCCACUAAUACCUCUGGUAGAGCAUUCACCUACUGGGCUGUAGCCUGUUGGGUGCAUUUUCCCCCUAAUACCACAGGCUCUCAAUUUCCAGCACAAAGCUCAGGACACCAGGAAACAUCUGGUGAAGGAAGGCUGAGGUCAUAAAGGACAGCAAUAUCCCAGCCCACAGCAGGGUCCCCACACCUGCUGUACUACAUUCACUCAGUAGUGACUCCAUUCCAAAAGGGGCCUCUCACGGGGUGGCCAAGAGGAGCUGGAGCUUGUGAGCCCCUUAAAAUGAAGGCAAAGUCAUAUACUUCACGUCUGCCCAUUGCAAGAGUUCAUCAAGAAAGACAGCACUGGUGUGUAUUAAAAACCACAAUGUA
rnacentral:lncRNA from 1 species